rnacentral:rRNA from 1 species
GCAAGUCGAACGAAGAACAUUUGGUAGCAAUAUUAGGUGUUCUUAGUGGCGAAAGGGUGCGUAACACGUGGGUAAUCUACCGUAAAGUUCGGAAUAACUUCGAGAAAUCGAUGCUAAUACCGAAUGUGAUCUGACAGGGACAUCCCUGUUCCAUUAAAGCUGGGGACCUUCGGGCCUGGCGCUUUACGAUGAGCCCGCGACCUAUCAGCUUGUUGGUGAGGUAAUAGCUUACCAAGGCUAAGACGGGUAACUGGUUUGAGAGGAUGAUC